rnacentral:rRNA from 1 species
UACGAAGGGUGCAAGCGUUACUCGGAAUUACUGGGCGUAAAGCGUGCGUAGGUGGUGAGUUAAGUCUGUCGUGAAAGCCCCGGGCUCAACCUGGGAAUGGCGAUGGAUACUGGCUCGCUAGAGUGCGGUAGAGGAGAGUGGAAUUCCCGGUGUAGCAGUGAAAUGCGUAGAGAUCGGGAGGAACAUCAGUUGCGAAGGCGGCUCUCUGGGCCAUAACUGACGCUGAGAAGCGAAAGCAUGGGGAGCGAACAGG